CGCGUAAAGAACUUGCCUCACAGCCAGGGACAACAUUUAGAAAUGAAUGCUAAUACCUGAUAUUAUGAUUUUAAGGCAUCUUAGAAUUAUGAAAGCUAUAAGCACUGUGAGAGAGCUUUGCGUCCCAUUAGCUAGUUGGAGAGGUAACAGCUCACCAAGGCGAUGAUGGGUAGCCGGCCUGAGAGGGUGAACGGCCACAAGGGAACUGAGACACGGCCCUU
rnacentral:rRNA from 1 species